GAUAUACUCCCUCUGUCCCAAAAAUUUUGUCUUAGAUUUGUCCAAAUACGAAUGUAUCUAAUUACAUUUUAGUAUUAGAUACAUCUGUAUCUAGACAAAACUAAGACAAGAAUUUUGGGACGGAGGGAGUACAUG
rnacentral:pre_miRNA from 1 species